rnacentral:lncRNA from 1 species
UUUGGAUAGCCUUAAGAGAAGAUUAUCCAAUUAGGGUUUAGGUUGUAACCCUUAAGGAGUCUACAAGUAUAAAUAGACCCCAUGGCUGAUGGAAUUCGACACUUGACCUAAAGUAAGGAACCUCUGGUCGAAAUUCCUCCCCUCUCCUCUCUCCCAAAUCAUCCUCCUUGCUUUGGUGUUUGUAAGCCAUUAGAGGAGUGACAUUUGUGACUCUAGAAGCUCCAAGACCUCAAGAUCAACAAGGAACUCAAAGGUAUGAUUCUAGAUCUGUUUUAAUGUUCUUGUUUAACCUAAUUAGUAAUUAGAAGUCUUGGAUUCAAAGCAUGUUUAUUAGAAAGCCUAGAUCCAAGCAUUAGGGUUUUGCAUGCGCACAUAGGAAAGUUCUUAUGGCUAAAACCCAUCAGUGGUAUCAGAGCCUAGCUUGGUUUUCUGUAAAUUGUUGCUUGAUUAACUGAAACAAACCUGCAAAAUUCGAAUUUUUGGUUUCUGAGUCAUGGACUCGGCGAGUCUCAAAGUGGACUCGGCGAGUAGGCCUGACUCGGCGAGUCCAUUUGUGCACUCGGCGAGUCCAGGCGUCAGGAAUGGCCAGAUUCGGGAUUUCUUUGUGUUUAUCUUAUCUUAACUUACCAUAAACUAAUUAGAUCAACAUUAAUUCGUUUUUCUGAUAAAUAUAACUAUUAUCUUGAUCUAGUUAAAGGUAAUUAUCAACUAAUUAAAUAUUUAAUUUCCUUAUAUGAUAAUUAAUUAAUUAUUUUGAUUAUUUUGGUAAUUAUCUUUAAAAGAAAUCUUGAAUAAAUCAAAUAUAGAUAAUUAGGAUAUUAAUUGUUAAUUGGAAUUAUUUGUUAUUUGAUCCUCCAUGUUUUAAAUGUUUAAAACCUACCCUCAUGUUUUGAAAUUUACUUUUGUGAUUAAAAGUUUUAAUUUAGACAACUUAAAUUUCAAACCCUAGAUUUUAAAAGUUUUAAAAUACAACCCUAUACUAAUAUGAUAUUACUAGAAUAAUAUAUAUAUGUAUAACUAAAUGCUAGUCUUACCGUUAGUAGGCCUCAUUCACGAAGCCGAUCUAUAAGGUGGGUAUAAGGUUGCGGCCUAUAAAAUGGCGCUUAAUGGGUGUACACUCACACCCACCGCUUGCUUGAUUGGUGGAGGGUCGUUAGCCGAACGGGUAGGAUAGGGCAACCUCAUCCUCUCAUUAAAAGUAUAAUAAGAAAUAUAAAGUAACUACACAUUUUUUUAAAAUUUCCCAAUCCUAGUUACUUUAGGAAAAGUGAAUUGAUGCAAUCCCAUGAAAUUACACUUUGCACCUUGCUAAGAUGUUAGUGGAGCGUGUGUGGUUUACCGGCACACUAAUUGGUUCUAAGCGAAGGUGGCAAAGGGUGAUUCAUUGUUUAUCAUAGUUCGAUGGAGCGUGUGUGGUUUACCGGCACAUCGAAUAGGUGAUCGUUACAAUGAAGGCACCAUGUGAAUUUGCAUGGUAAUUCACACCCGCUUUGUGAUCCUCGGCAUCCCAGUCACAAACAAGAGGGGCAUAUCGAGAUUUAAACAUGCCAUUGAAUAGUUUCAAUGAAUCUCAUCCGAACCUAGGAAUUCUCAAAAACACUUAGGACUAAUAGUUUAAGUUUUGUGAUGGAGAAUUAGUGAAUCGUCAUUCACUUACCUUCAAUUUAUUUGCAUGUUAGAUUACGGCAUCCCUUUUCUAGUAUGUAAAUGUUAUUGUUGGAUCCUAGCCCUAAUUUUCUUAUUGGGUGAUAAUUAGGGAUUCUUAUUCUAAUCUAUCUUUGUCCUUUUCUAAUUGUAGAUGUCGAACGCAAACAACGCUGCUGCUAGUUCUUUCACGUUGAUGAGCCUUUGCCAAAAGGUCACCUUCGAUGGAACGAACUUUAGCGAAUGGAUAAGAUACAUUCGCACCAUUGCUCGCUAUGAGGAUAAGGAGUAUGUCCUCGAUGAGAAGCUCGAGAAAAUCAACCCCGAAAUUGCUACUCCCGCCGAAAUCACCGCCUUUGAAACUCAUGAGCGAGAUGCAACGAAGGUACAUUGCAUCAUGAUCGCCACCAUGAACUCCGAAUUCCAAAAGUCCUACGAGGACAUGUACCCGUACGAGAUGCAUCAAGACUUAUUGGAGAGGUACCACCAAAACGCGAGACAAGAGAGGUACGAGAUUUUCACUAACAUGAUUUCCGCGAAGAUGGGUCAUGGAGAAUCUCUUACCGUGCACUUGCAAAAGAUGCAAAGGUAUGUUGACCGCCUUCGCAAGUUAAAUGUUGACUUCGGUGAAGACUUGGCGAUCGACAUGGUGCUUCACUCUUUGCCUCCGAUGUACAACCAAUUUAGGAUGACCUACCACAUGAACAAAGAAGAGGUCACCCUAAGCAAGCUCCAAGGUCUCUUGAGGGUUGCUGAGAGCAACUUCAAAGACAAGUCUGUUGCACCUACUCCCAAUCCGCCCGCUGCUCCUGUCUUGGCUAUUGGACAAGGGAAGGGAAAGAAGAGGAAAGCUUCAUCGAAGAACUAUCGCAAGGUGAAAGCCCGAGAUGGUGCCUCUUCUAGUGGGACCAAAGUUGAUCCCGCCAAGCCCUGCUCUAACCCGAAGGAGGCAGAGUGCCACCACUGCCACAAGAUAGGACAUUGGAAGAGAAGCUGCCCGGAUUACCUGCAAGCAAUCAAAGAAGGAAAGAUCAAGCCAUCUUUCGCAGGUAUAUAUACAAUCAAAUCUAACGAUUCUAAUCAUGCUAUUUCUUGGGUUCUUGAUACCGGUUGUGGUUAUCACAUUUGUUCUAAUGUGCAGGGACUAAGAAGAAGUAGGGAUGUGGAGCAAGGAAGGAUCAAUCUAAUCAUGGGGAACAGAAGAUCGUCGCCUGUGACCAAGAUUGGAGUGUAUUCCUUAGUGCUUAGGAAUAGUUUAGUUUUAGAUUUGAACAAUUGUUGCUAUUCGCCAGAAAUGGCAAGAAACAUCAUUUCAUUUCAUGGUUUAUAUAGACAAGGAUUUAGAUUUUCUUUUAAUAAUGAGAAUGGUUCUAUUUUGGCUUAUCUAAAUGGUGUCUUUUACUUUGAAGCUAUACCAUGUAAUGGAAUAUAUGAAACCGUUAUGAUUGUUGAUAACUUAGGAAAUGAUGUUUUGAAUAUUGAUUCUUCCACUAGUAUGGAUAAAGCAUCCUUGUGGCAUUGUCGUCUUGGACAUGUCAACAAGAAACGCAUAGCCCAACUCCAAAAGGAUGGAGUGUUGGAGUCAUUCGACCUUAGGGAAGAUGACACAUGCGAGUCUUGUUUGCUUGGAAAGAUGACUAAGUCACCCUUCACGAGUACAUGUGAAAGGGGCGAGGGUCUAUUGGACCUAAUACAUACCGAUGUAUGUGGACCGUUUAGAUCAACCACGAAGGAUGGGAACCGCUUCUAUGUGACUUUUACCGAUGACUAUAGUAGAUAUGGGUAUAUCUACUUAAUCAAGCAAAAGUCAGACACCUUUGAAAAGUUCAAAGAGUUCAAGAAUGAAGUGGAGAAUCAAUUGGGCAGGAAAAUCAAGAUGCUUCGAUCCGAUCGAGGAGGAGAGUACCUAAGUCUUGAAUUCCACGAUUAUCUCAAGGAGUGUGGAAUAGUUUCGCAAUUGACGCCUCCUAGGACACCGCAGUUGAAUGGUGUGGCAGAAAGGCGUAAUCGAACCUUAUUGGAUAUGGUUCGCUCUAUGAUGAGUCGUGCUUCACUACCUAUCUCUUUUUGGGGGUAUGCCUUAGAGACUGCCGCCCAUAUCCUUAACCGAGUCCCUACUAAGAAGGUUGCCAAAACACCUCACGAGAUGUGGACAGGGAAAGCUCCCUCGUUGGCACAUAUCAAGGUUUGGGGUUGCGAGGCUUUCGUAAGACGAGAUACUCACGACAAGCUUGAACCUCGAAGUGAGCGAUGUAUUUUCAUCGGCUACCCGCAGACAUCCUUUGGAUAUCUCUUCUAUAGACCGAAGGACAAUGUUGUCUUCGUUGCGAGGAGAGGAGUUUUCCGAGAGCGAGAACUCAUAAGCCAAGGAGACAGUGGGAGGCAAAUCGAGCUUGAAGAGAUUCAAGAGUCGAUAGAUGAAGGAACCUCUACCGCUGGCACUCAACCCGAGGAGGAAACUCCGGUUGAACCGAUUGACGAAUCCUUACCUCUUAGACGUUCCGAUAGAGUUAGAGUUCAUCCCCAGUUUUAUGGUUUUCAUAUUACUACCGAAGGGGACACGUAUAUUAGUGAUGGUACACUAGUAAAUCUUGAUGAACCUAAUAGCUAUAAGGAAGCCAUGGCAGGCCCGGAGUCUGCAAAGUGGAAAGAGGCAAUGGAUAGCGAGAUCCAAUCCAUGUAUGAUAACCAAGUUUGGAAUUUGGUUGAUUAUGUGCCCGGACGUAAGACCGUUGGGUGCAAAUGGAUCUUCAAGAAGAAGACCGACGUGGAUGGAAACGUACACACAUAUAAAGCGCGAUUGGUUGCGAAGGGCUUUACUCAAACUCCCGGAGUUGACUAUGAUGAGACCUUCUCACCAGUUGCGAAGAUUAAAUCUAUUAGAGUGAUGCUAGCAAUUGCCGCAUUUCAUGAUUAUGAGAUUUGGCAAAUGGAUGUCAAGACCGCUUUCCUUAACGGAAAGUUGGCUGAGGAUGUUUACAUGGCUCAGCCAGAGGGGUUUGUGGAUCCGAAGCAUCCGAAUAGAGUGUGUAAGCUUGAGAAGUCCAUUUAUGGACUUAAGCAAGCGUCUCGCAGAUGGAAUCUUUGCUUCGAUGAGAAAGUCAAAGAGUUUGGAUUUGUACGAAGCGAAGACGAAUCUUGUGUAUAUGUCAAAGCCAGUGGGAGUAUAGUAAGCUUCCUCGUUCUAUAUGUCGAUGACAUAUUACUCAUAGGAAACGACAUCCCGACUCUGCAGGAGGUUAAGUCCUGGCUCGGGAAGUGCUUCGCUAUGAAGGACCUCGGAGAGGCUUCUUACAUUUUGGGAAUAAGGAUAGUAAGAGAAAGAAGUAAGAGACUAAUUGGACUUAGUCAGAAUACUUACUUAGAGAAGGUACUAAAACGUUUUAGUAUGGAAAACUCAAAGAAGGGAGAACUACCGAUACAAAGUAAUGCCAAAUUGAGUAAGACUCAAAGUCCGAGUACCGAAGCUGAGAUAGCAGAAAUGAGCCGAGUACCAUACGCUUCCGCAGUUGGCUCAAUCAUGUACGCUAUGACUUGUACUCGCCCUGAUGUAGCCUUCGCUUUGAGCAUGGUUAGCAGAUAUCAAGGGAAUCCUGGCAGAGCACAUUGGAUUGCGGUGAAGAAUAUCCUUAAGUACCUUCGGAGGACGAAGGAAUGGUUCUUAGUCCUCGGAGGGAGUGAUGACUUGAAGGUGCGAGGGUAUAGUGACGCCAGUUUUCAGACCGACAGGGACAACUACCGUUCGCAGUCGGGCUGGGUCUUUACCCUAAAUGGAGGAGCAGUGACAUGGAAGAGUUCCAAGCAGGAAACCGUAGCUGAUUCAACGUGCGAAUCAGAGUACAUUGCAGCGAGCGAAGCGUCGAAGGAGGCAAUAUGGCUAAAGAACUUCAUCGGUGAUCUUGGAGUUGUACCUGCCAUAAAGGAGCCCAUGGAGAUUUUCUGUGAUAACGAAGGAGCGGUUGCCUUGACCAAGGAACCGAGGGAUCAUGGUAGAUCAAGACAUAUCGACAGAAAAUAUCACUUCAUUAGACAUCGUGUAGAAGAAGGACAACUCGUAGUGAAGAGGAUAUCAUCAGAAGAUAACCCAGCAGAUCCGCUUACGAAGGGACUGAGUAGGGUUAAGCACUUGCAGCAUGCUAGGAGUAUUGGGCUGAAGGAUGAUAUUAGCAUAGAUUAGAUAGUAUUAGAAACGUGUAAUAGAUAAAUGUAAUUAACAUUUGAUGAUUAAAUAAAGGAGUUUUAUUUAUGAGUAAUGUUACUAUCUUAUGUUAAUUGUUUAACUAUUGUUUCACUUUGCAUGUUUUGACUUCCAGAAUAAUUGAGUUUAUUAGGAAUAAUCGAAUUGUUCAAAUUGUCCACAAUCGUUCAUAUGUUGGAAGUAGAUAUGAAUGAAGAUUGUCAUGAAUUGGUGUGUAGAUUGUCUAAAUGGUGUUAGACAUAGCAAAGGGUUGCUGCAACGUUCAUGAGUGCUUAUGAACUAGUUUUGAGCAUUGGAACAAACCCGCGCUUGCUGGAAUCACCUUAUGGAAUAUGAUAUAAAAGGGUGAUCGCAAGACGAUAAUAUCAUAUAGUCUUAAAACCUAGAUAUAUGGUUUGUUAUUUGUUAAUUGAUUGUACAUUGAUAAUGCGAAAACGCAUCAGUAACUCGGUGUUAUAAAACGCAUUGUUGUGUAUAGUUGGUUAAUGAAUAAGUAAAUGCAUAUAAGUCGAAGUUUAUCUGUAACUUUUAUCUAAGAAGGUAAAAGCGAUAUCUCGGCCGCUCGAUGAUUUGAUUUGACUUAUGUGCCGGGCCCGGUCAGAACUGAAUUGAUGUGUUCGAUUAAGUUCUAUGUCAAAUAAAUCAGAGAUCGAGAAACCUAAAUGCUUGACUAACCAUUCCAUAGGAUUGUCAGCAUGAUAUCUAACAGAGGACUGUACGAUCCCUUAUCUAAAGGACAAGAUUGAUUAGAUCAGAGUUUGACAGCGUCUUUGAGAGCUACGAUUGCAAACCGAAUUGUACUUGUGCAUAUAGUUACUAGACUUAUCCAAGUGGGAGACUGUUGGAAUAGUGUCUAAGGCUGCAACUAUAUUAGGCAAGUAUUUGACCCGGUUGUGCAUGGUCCUUUUGGGUUGCCUUCACCAUAGCAACUUGAUAGGAUGAUUUAUUAAGAGAGAGUAAAUAUUAUUAAUAUAUUAUGAGAAUAAUAUAAAGAAUAAUAUAUUGUUAUUUGAUUAAUAUAAGUCAUAGAAUUAAUUGGAAUUAAUUUGGUGACUUAAAGAGAUUAAUUAAAUAAGAGGGUAUAAACUGUCAAUUGUUUGAUAGUUAAACUUUAGACUAUAAAUCCAUAUAGAUAUGGAUUGGGCGGAUUCUAGAAGCUAAAGGAUAGCUCAAAUCGUCCAAGAGUUAUCUAAUGAAUGGAUUUGGAUAGCCUUAAGAGAAGAUUAUCCAAUUAGGGUUUAGGUUGUAACCCUUAAGGAGUCUACAAGUAUAAAUAGACCCUAUGACCAAGGGAAAUCGGCACUUCAUCAAAAGCAUAGAAACCCUGGCCGAUUUCCUCCCCUCUCCUCUCUCCCAAAUCAUCCUCCUUGCUAUUUGGUGUUUGUAAGCCAUUAGAGGAGUGACAAUUGUGACUCUAGAAGCUCCAAGACAACAAGAUCAACAAGGAAUUCAAAGGUAUGAUUCUAGAUUUGUUUUAUCAUUGUUCUUAUUCCUAAAUAGUCAUUAGAAGUCUUGGAUUCAAAGCAUGUUUAAUUAGAAAGCCUAGAUUCAAGCAUUAGGGUUUUGCAUGCGCACAUAGGAAAGUUCUUAUGGCUAAAACCCAUCAAGUUCAACAUUUUCACUUGUACGUUUAAUACAAAGUUUUUCAAUUAUACAUGUUUUGAAAUCAUCAUGCAUAUAUUUACGGAUCUUCACACCUUUUCGUUCAAACUACACAAAACAUAUCCAUAUCUAACCUGCUUAUGAACUCACCAACAUUCCAUAUGUUGACCAUUUUUCAAAAUAACUUGU